GGUGUAGGCGGACAGGUAAGUUGGUGUUGAAAUCCCUCGGCUCAACCGAGGAAUUGGCACCAAAACUAUUUGUCUUGAGGAUAGCAGGGGGGUGUGGAACUUCUGGUGGAGCGGUGGAAUGCGUAGAUAUCAGAAGGAACACCGGUGGCGAAGGCGACGCCCUGGGCUAUUCCUGACGCUGAGGCCCGAAAGCGUGGGGAGCAAACAGGAUUAGAUACCCUGGUAGUCC
rnacentral:rRNA from 1 species